AUACAAUAUCUUACCUUCAUAUUUAUAGCUACUGAAGGGUUUCAUUUUCAUUUUUUAUUCUCUAAUAUUUAUAUGAUGAAUGACAGGUUAAAUGGUUUUCAAAAGGAAAUCUAUAUAGAGCAAAAGCUCAGAUAGGAUGUUUCGGAAUGUGUGGUCAUAAUCUUCUCAAACUAUUAAAACUAUCCCAAAGACCUGAAUUCACUUCAAAGACAAAACAGUGUAGGAAAUGACCCGCCAGCUCUCCGCCAGGCCGUGGUGGCUGUCAAUCCCUGUGGCCUGUUUUCCUAACUGAACUGUGAGCUUGCAGAGGGCAGAGAACAGGGAUCCUCACUUCACUCCGUGCAACAACCCGACGUCUCCCGUGUUGGCGAGAGCUGGUGGCCUGAGCUCUCUGCGGGUGCUCAGCUCGUCCCACUGAGAAGAGGGCUCUCCAGAACCCCCUGACCUCGUCAAAACUCACCGUGCCGGCUGUCACCAUGCUCAUCUCAGACCCCACCCACCUUCCUUGGCAGUUCAUUCUUUAUCGAAUUUGCAGUUCUCCUAUAAAACCAGCCAGUGACACCUUCCAAUGCCCCAUGUCAGGGUCUGCAGCGCAAUCGGCAGCAUGUCCAUGGGGGUCUCUUGAGCUUAUUCAUGUCAAAAAGAGCACCUGCCCUCCAGGCCUGGAGAGCCCCACACUCCAGCCCAGACCUGAUGAGCACGAGACAGCUCUCAGACUGAGUCCACCUGCUGCCAGGCCCUUGUUCAUGUCAACACCAAGGCAACCACUUCAUUUAAAAGCAAAGUGACUACAAACAACAGAAACGCCUCCUGGUGCUGACACACGGUGCAAUAUGGAAACAUUCCCAAAUUUUAUACAAGUUUUCUCGUAUAAAACAGGAAGAAGGUCUCUCAACUUGUUUUCAAAUCUUCUUGGAGAAACAACUUAACAUUUUGGACACUUUAGGAGAAAUGACAUAGAGAACACCCAACUCUAUAUGUAGAGCAUAGCCAGGUAUAACCCAGGUGUCACCUCCAGGACCUGGGAGGACAGGCCACCUGCUCUGUCACAGAUAGGGAGCCUUUUGGACCAUCACCCAUAAAUCAGAAAAAUAAA